AACGAACGCUGGCGGCAAGCUUAACACAUGCAAGUCGAGCGAGACCUUCGGGUCUAGCGGCGGACGGGUGAGUAACGCGUGGGAACGUGCCCUUCUCUACGGAAUAGCCCCGGGAAACUGGGAGUAAUACCGUAUACGCCCUUUGGGGGGAAGAUUUAUCGGAGAAGGAUCGGCCCGCGUUGGAUUAGGUAGUUGGUGGGGUAAUGGCCCACCAAGCCGACGAUCCAUAGCUGGUGUGAGAGGAUGAUCAGCCACACUGGGACUGAGACACGGCCCAGACUCCUACGGGAGGCAGCAGUGGGGAAUCUUAGACAAUGGGGGCAGCCCUGAUCUAGCCAUGCCGCGUGAGUGAUGAAGGCCUUAGGGUUGUAAAGCUCUUUCAGCUGGGAAGAUAAUGACGGUACCAGCAGAAGAAGCCCCGGCUAACUCCGUGCCAGCCGCCGCCGUAA
rnacentral:rRNA from 1 species